UGGGGAAUAUUGCACAAUGGGCGCAAGCCUGAUGCAGCAAUGCCGCGUGUGUGAAGAAGGCCUGCGGGUUGUAAAGCACUUUUAUUGGGAAAGAAAAACCCGGAGAUAAUACCUCCGGCAUUGACGGUACCCAAAGAAUAAGCACCGGCUAACUCAGUGCCAGCAGCCGCGGUAAUACUGAGGGUGCGAGCGUUAAUCGGAAUUACUGGGCGUAAGGGGAGUGUAGGCGGUUACCUCAGUCGGAUGUGAAAGCCCCGGGCUUAACCUGGGAAUUGCAUUCGAUACUGGGUAACUAGAGUUUGGUAGAGGUAAGUGGAAUUCCGGGUGUAGCGGUGAAAUGCGUAGAUAUCCGGAGGAACAUCAGUGGCGAAGGCGGCUUACUGGACCAAAACUGACGCUGAGGCUCGAAAGCGUGGGUAGCAAACAGGAUUAGAUACCCUGGUAGUCCACGCCCUAAACGAUGUCAACUAGCCGUAGGAGGGCUUGUCCCUUUUGUGGCGCAGCUAACGCGAUAAGUUGACCGCCUGGGGAGUACGGCCGCAAGGUUA
rnacentral:rRNA from 1 species